rnacentral:lncRNA from 7 species
CAUGCAGAUAAGGCAGCAGUGUGAAGCCCAGUGUGGAUAGUGUUCCAUGGAUAAAGACCGCUGGUUGAGCUGGUGCCUUUAUUGCUGGGCAUUUUGUGUUUUUGGUGACAAGUGCCUGGGACAGGCUGCUGGUGGGGAGAGAGAGAGAAAGCUGCAUGCUCCAGUUCUGGAGCUCUCAGUCUAAGAACUUCCUGAACUGAAGUUCAAUUUGUCACUUUCCUAACUGCUGUGACAAAGAACAUUUUUAGAAGCUAUCUUCAAGGGCUCCAAAAUCUCUUCUUUAUUAUAUUAGGUAAUAUGAGGCCCACUGUUGUGUUCAGGCAGUUAGGUUUGUUUGUUCCUUAUUGGGGAUCUUUAUACCUACAAUGAAUGUCAUUUUAUCUACGCUAUUUUGAACAUAAUUUCAUCACUGUUUCUUGAUAUGAGAUCCUCUGCAACCUGUUUUCUCACUAAGUUUCAGCUUUACUGCCAUAAAUUAUAUCUGUAUCUUUUCCAGCUCACUGAACAGCCCAGACUCCAGGUCUUAGCAGAGCUUACUUGCUUUUUAAUGAGUUACUAACUCACAGAAGGCAACUGAGGGCUUAGUGAGAAACUGGUUUUAUAAACAAUAAAUAGUUACUCAGAAGUUUGUGGAGUGCCGUGAUGCCUUCAAAUUGUUUUUUUUCUCUCAAGUUCUUAAUUUAAAAAAUAUAUAGGUGUUUUCUGAGGACAAGUAAGGAUCAAGGAUGUUCACUGUUGGGGGAAUCUAGCAGUGAUGCUGUGUUCUGCAUAGUGAAUACCCUUGGGAAGGAAAUUGGUGCAAGCUGACAGACAGUAUGUAUGUAAUGGCACAGUCUAAGGUAUUCAGCAGAGUAUUGUCCUGAUACCUGAGGCACUUGGACUUCAUUAGGAAUGUAGGGAGUUUGCCUGCACAGUCCUUCUGGCAGUAUGUGAUUGUUGAAUGCACACUGUAAUCAUUCUGUGCAACUGCCCUUUUCCCUGCAUGUUUUACCUCCACAAAGCCUAUUUUCAUGGUGUAAUAUUGUGUGUGUGCUGGAGUUCUCCCUUUAGAAAGAGAAAUAAACAUUCAAUCCCAUCUCUCACCUCUG